rnacentral:rRNA from 1 species
UACGAAGGGGGCGAGCGUUGUUCGGAUUUACUGGGCGUAAAGGGCGCGCAGGCGGCGCAUUUUGUCAGGCGUGAAAGCCCCGGGCUUAACCUGGGAACUGCGUUUGAUACGGAUGGGCUAGAGUUCGGGAGAGGAGAGCGGAAUUCCCGGUGUAGAGGUGAAAUUCGUAGAUAUCGGGAGGAACACCAGUGGCGAAGGCGGCGACCUGGACGGAUAUUGACGCUGAGGUGCGAAAGCGUGGGGAGCAAACAGG